GGGCUGGGGCUCAGUGGUACAGCGCUUUCCUAGCAUGCAUGAGGCACUGGGUUUGAUCCUCAGCAGCACA
rnacentral:tRNA from 1 species